GUCUGCGUGGACAGGGUUGAUGCGCAGUCUGGCCUGCCCCCUGAAUAUUUAAAGGGCCGCGGUAUCUGAACCGUGCUAAGGUAGCAUAAUAAAUAGUCUUUUAAUUGAAGUCUAGUAUGAAUGGUCGGACAUGAAGUAAGCUGUUUUAGCCGCAAAGUUUGAAUUUUACUUUUAAGUGAAAAGGCUUAAAUUUUGUGAUGGGACGAUAAGACCCUAUAAAGCUUUACAUUUUACUUGUUAGUUGUUAGAUUUUAAGUUUCUUAUUCUUGUCAUGUAAAGUGUUUCGUUGGGGCGACGAGAAUAUAAAGAGUAACUGUUUUAUUAAAAAAAUAGGUUUUUCUAGGGGUGUUGAUCCUUCAUAGAGAUUAUAAGAUCUAAGUUACUUUAGGGAUAACAGCGUGAUUUUUCUUGAGAGUUCAUAUCGACAGAUAUAGUUGCGACCUCGAUGUUGAAUUAAAGUGUCUCCCAGGUGUAGCAGUUUGGGUGGUAGGUCUGUUCGACCUUUAAAGCUUU
rnacentral:rRNA from 1 species